rnacentral:rRNA from 1 species
AUUGAACGCUGGCGGCAGGUCUAACACAUGCAAGUCGAACAAGACCUUCGGGUCUAGUGGCGCACGGGUGCGUAACGCGUGGGAAUCCGCCCUUGGGUUCGGGAUAACAGUUGGAAACGACUGCUAAUACCGAAUGAUGACUUCGGUCCAAAGAUUUAUCGCCCAGGGAUGAGCCCGCGUCGGAUUAGCUUGUUGGUGAGGUAAAGGCUCACCAAGGCGACGAUCCGUAGCUGGUCUGAGAGGAUGAUCAGCCACACUGGGACUGAGACACGGCCCAGACUCCUACGGGAGGCAGCAGUGGGGAAUAUUGGACAAUGGGCGAAAGCCUGAUCCAGCAAUGCCGCGUGAGUGAUGAAGGCCUUAGGGUUGUAAAGCUCUUUUACCCGGGAUGAUAAUGACAGUACCGGGAGAAUAAGCCCCGGCUAACUCCGUGCCAGCCGCCGCUGUAA